UAGGGAGACCUUACCCGCUCUUAUAUUGAAAGCGAAAUGCGAAUAGAUGGAGAGAUGGUCAUCCUAAGGUCGGUGAGGGUUAGGUAGAGAAGUGGCUUCCAAACGAGUCCAGGUGGAAGGGUAUGGGCUAUUAGCUCAGGUGGUUAGAGCGCACCCCUGAUAAGGGUGAGGUCCCUGGUUCGAGUCCAGGAUGGCCCACCUUGGGGGUUUAGCUCAGUUGGUAGAGCGCCUGCUUUGCAAGCAGGAUGUCAGCGGUUCGAGUCCGCUAACCUCCACUGGGCGAGAGAGAUGGUAGUAUUCAGCACCUUAUCUAAUAGCUGGGAAGAUUUAGGGAUAAAUCGGUCAGAGAUUAGAGAGUAUGCUGGAUGAUUAGCCAGCGAGAACCUUGAAAACUGCAUAGUGAGAAGAAAGUCAGGUAGAGGCUCAUCAGGAGUCAGGAUUCUGAUGUUUGAAGUCAGGAGCGAUUUGAGGAGAGAUUCUGCAAAUCAGGAAUGGCGGAAGAUAGAAGACGAGAGAUGAUUGAUGAGAUUCACAGAAGAUACCAAUGUAGAUUGAGU
rnacentral:tRNA from 1 species